rnacentral:lncRNA from 1 species
GACUGGGCUUCCCUGUAUCUAUGGUCUGACGGACAAACAGCCCCAUUCUCAGAGUUCAUAACGGAGUGCUUACAUUAUUACACUUGUGCAAUUCAAGAUAUAUUUAUUUUACCCUUUCAGUAUUUGUUGUUGUUGUUGUUGUUGAAAAAGGUACAAAAUGUUUGAAUUGUUUAAAAAGUUAUUUUAAGCUAUACAGGUUUUGUGUUCUCAGAGGGAUGGGAUCAAAACACAGCAAGAUGACAAUUCAGUUGAAAAGAUAAGAGUAGUCAGCACUUCAGACUAGUGAGGACAAUGUGCAUUAUAAUGCAGCUGUUUAGUUUGACGACUGUGACACACAAACGCAGUCAUUUCACUGUGAGAACUGACGGACUGUAAUAAUAAUAAUGUGUUUUAAAGCCUACAUACACACAAACAGGUUGUACUUUCUGCUAAAUUCAAUGUAGGCUUUUUUCUUGUUGCUUUUGACAACAACAACAGUACACCAAAGUUCAGAAUAGAUGAACAAUGUUUCUGUGUGUUUGGCGUUUCUAAUGAUAAGCUAAGUGACAGCUGUAUUGGAGAGACAGAGGCAGGAUAAAACACAACACAUCACUCAAAUGUUUGGUGAGAAAAUAGGUGAGAUACUGUACUGGCUAGAUGGGAGGUACUGUACUGUACUGGCUAGAUGGGAGGUACUGUACUGUAUUGGCUAGAUGGGAGGUACUGUACUGUAUUGGCUAGAUGGGAGGUACUGUACUGUAUUGGCUAGAUGGGAGGUACUGUACUGUACUGUAUUGGCUAGAUGGGAGGUACUGUAUUGGCUAGAUGGGAGGUACUGUACUGUACUGGCUAGAUGGGAGGUACUGUACUGUACUGGCUAGAUGGGAGGUACUGUACUGUACUGGCUAGAUGGGAGGUACUGUAUUGGCUAGAUGGGAGGUACUGUAUUGGCUAGAUGGGAGGUACUGUACUGGCUAGAUGGGAGGUACUGUACUGUAUUGGCUAGAUGGGAGGUACUGUACUGUACUGGCUAGAUGGGAGGUACUGUACUGGCUAGAUGGGAGGUACUGUACUGUAUUGGCUAGAUGGGAGGUACUGUACUGUACUGGCUAGAUGGGAGGUACUGUACUGGCUAGAUGGGAGGUACUGUACUGUAUUGGCUAGAUGGGAUGUACUGUACUGUAUUGGCUAGAUGGGAGGUACUGUACUGGCUGGAUGGGAGGUACUGUACUGUAUUGUCUAGAUGGGAUGUACUGUACUGUAUUGGCUAGAUGGGAGGUACUGUAUUGGCUAGAUGGGAGGUACUGUACUGUAUUGUCUAGAUGGGAUGUACUGUACUGUAUUGGCUAGAUGGGAGGUACUGUACUGGCUGGAUGGGAGGUACUGUACUGUACUGGCUAGAUGGGAGGUACUGUACUGUAUUGGCUAGAUGGGAGGUACUGUACUGUACUGGCUAGAUGGGAGGUACUGUACUGUAUUGGCUAGAUGGGAGGUACUGUACUGUAUUGGCUAGAUGGGAGCUACUGUACUGGCUAGAUGGGAGGUACUGUACUGGCUGGAUGGGGGGUACUGUACUGUAUUGGCUAGAUGAGAGGUACUGUACUGUACUGGCUAGAUGAGAGGUACUGUACUGUAUUGGCUAGAUGGGAGGUACUAUACUGGCUAGAUGGGAAGUACUGUACUGUACUGGCUAGACGGGAGGUACUGUACUGGCUGGAUGGGAGGUACAGUACUGGCUAGAUGGGAGGUACAGUACUGGCUGGAUGGGAGGUACAGUACUGGCUAGAUGGGAGGUACAGUACUGGCUGGAUGGGAGGUACAGUACUGGUUGGAUGGGAGGUACUGUAUUGGCUAGAUGAGGUACUGUAUUGGCUAGAUGAGGUACUGUACUGGUUAGAAGGGAGGUACAGUACUGGCUUGGUGGGAGGUACAGUACUGGCUGGAUGGGAGGUACAGUACUGGCUAGAUGAGGUACAGUACUGGCUAGAAGGGAGGUACAGUUCAGUACUGGUUAGAAGGGAGGUACUGUAUUGGUGGGAGGUACAGUACUGGUUAGAAGGGAGGUACAGUACUGGCUUGGUGGGAGGUACAGUAUUGUACUGGGUGGAUGGGAAUAUGUAAACCCAGCCAACAUAUCUGGGUUAGUAUUCUGUAUGUGAAAUUGAGACAUCCAGGCCCGCUAGCCAAAACUCAACGGUGUGUGACUGACAGCUACAUGAACAUUAACUAUGUUACUCUUAUAAUGACCAUUUGGGGGGAGG